AGGGUACAACAAAGUACGUGGCCUACACAUGCAAAUCGAAUGAAAUAAUUAAUUAUUGUUUUCAUGGUGAACGGGUGAGUAACACAUAAGAAUCAGCUUUUAGAUAAGGCAUAAAAGAGUAAUAUCUUGGUAAUUCCUUAUAUGCGCAGCAGUGCUUAAAAAGGGGAGUCCCGUCUAAAAACGAGCUUAUGCCUGAUUAGCUAGUUGGCGAGUUAAAAGCUCACCAAGGCGAAGAUCAGUAGCUGGCCUGAGAGGGCGGCCAGCCACAUUGGGACUGAGACACGGCCCAAACUCCUACGGGAGGCAGCAGUGGGGAAUCUUCUGCAAUGGGCGCAAGCCUGACAGAGCGGCGUCGUGUGAAGGAAGAAGGCCUGAAAUAGGUUGUAAACUUCUUUUACUGAGUAAUGAAUAAUGACAACGCAGUAAAAAAGUAUCGGCUAACUCCGUGCCAGCAGCCGCGGUAAUACGGGGGAUGCAAGCGUUAUCCGGAAUCACUGGGCGUAAAGCGUCUGUAGGUGGUUUAGUGUGUUCUUAGUUAAAUUAUGAAGCUUAACUUCAUGAAAAGUAAGAAAACUAUUAGACUUGAGUACGAUAGGGGUAAGAGGAAUUCUUCGAGAAGUAGUGAAAUGCGAAGAUACGAAGGAGAAGAUCAUAAGCGAAGGCUUCUUACUGGGUCGUAACUGACACUGAGAGACGAAAGCUAGGGGGAGCGAAUGGGAUUAGAUACCCCAGUAGUCCUAGCUGUAAACGAUGGAUAUUCGGUGCCGGAAAUUUUAUUAGAACAUUUCGGGUACCCUAGCUAACGCGUUAAAUAUCCCGCCUGAGGAGUACGCUCGCAAGGGUGAAACUCAAAUGAAUUGACGGGAAGGGC
rnacentral:rRNA from 1 species